GUGAGUCAUCGAAUCUUUGAACGCACAUUGCGCCCGCCAGUAUUCUGGCGGGCAUGCCUGUUCGAGCGUCAUUUCAACCAUCAAGCCCCGGGCUUGUGUUGGGGACCUGCGGCUGCCGCAGGCCCUGAAAACCAGUGGCGGGCUCGCUAGUCACUCCGAGCGUAGUAGUUUACACCUCGCUCAGGGCGUGCUGCGGGUUCCGGCCGUGAAAAAGCCUUAUUUACCCCAAGGUUGACCUCGGAUCAGGUAGGAAGACCCGCUGAACUUAAGCAUAUCAAUAAGCGGAGGA
rnacentral:misc_RNA from 1 species